GACGAACGCUGGCGGCGUGCUUAACACAUGCAAGUCGAGCGGUAAGGCCUUUCGGGGUACACGAGCGGCGAACGGGUGAGUAACACGUGGGUGAUCUGCCCUGCACUUCGGGAUAAGCCUGGGAAACUGGGUCUAAUACCGGAUAUGACCUCCUAUCGCAUGGUGGGUGGGGGAAAGAUUUAUCGGUGCAGGAUGGGCCCGCGGCCUAUCAGCUUGUUGGUGGGGUAAUGGCCUACCAAGGCGACGACGGGUAGCCGACCUGGGAGGGUGACCGGCCACACUGGGACUGAGACACGGCCCAGACUCCUACGGGAGGCAGCAGUGGGGAAUAUUGCACAAUGGGCGAAAGCCUGAUGCAGCGACGCCGCGUGAGGGAUGGCGGCCUUCGGGUUGUAAACCGCUUUCAGCAGGGACGAAGCGCAAGUGACGGUACCUGCAGAAGAAGCACCGGCUAACUACGUG
rnacentral:rRNA from 1 species